rnacentral:rRNA from 1 species
UACGAAGGGGGCUAGCGUUGUUCGGAAUCACUGGGCGUAAAGCGCACGUAGGCGGACUUUUAAGUCAGGGGUGAAAUCCCGGGGCUCAACCCUGGAACUGCCUUUGAUACUGGAAGUCUGGAGGCCGAGAGAGGUGAGUGGAACUCCGAGUGUAGAGGUGAAAUUCGUAGAUAUUCGGAAGAACACCAGUGGCGAAGGCGGCUCACUGGCUCGGUACUGACGCUGAGGUGCGAAAGCGUGGGGAGCAAACAGG